rnacentral:rRNA from 1 species
GAUGAACGCUAGCGGCAGGCUUAAUACAUGCAAGUCGAGGGGCAGCAUGAGUGUAGCAAUACAUUUGAUGGCGACCGGCAAACGGGUGCGGAACACGUACUGAACCUUCCUUUAAGUGGGGAAUAGACCAGGGAAACUUGGAUUAAUACCCCGUAACCUAAUGAAGUGGCAUCACUUUAUUAUUAUAGCUCCGGCGCUUAAAGAUGGCAGUGCGGCUGUUUAGGUAGUUGGCGGGGUAACGGCCCACCAAGCCUGCGAUCAGUAACUGGUGUGAGAGCACGACCAGUCACACGGGCACUGAGACACGGGCCCGACUCCGACGGGAGGCAGCAGUAAGGAAUAUUGGGCAAUGGACGCAAGUCUGACCCAGCCAUGCCGCGUGGAGGAUGAAGGUCCUCUGGAUUGUAAACUUCUUUUAUAUGGGACGAAAAAGGGUCUUUCUAGAUCAACUGACGGUACCACAUGAAUAAGCACCGGCUAACUCCGUGCCAGCAGCCGCCGUAAGAC